UACAGAGGGGGCAAGCGUUGUUCGGAAUUACUGGGCGUAAAGGGCGCGUAGGCGGCCUUCUAAGUCGAACGUGAAAUCCCUGGGCUCAACCCAGGAACUGCGUCCGAUACUGGGAGGCUUGAAUCCGGGAGAGGGAUGUGGAAUUCCAGGUGUAGCGGUGAAAUGCGUAGAUAUCUGGAGGAACACCGGUGGCGAAGGCGGCGUUCUGGACUGCAACUGACACUGAGGAACGAAAGCCAGGGGAGCAAACAGG
rnacentral:rRNA from 1 species